GAGAGAGAGAGGGCUAGAGAGAGAAAGAGAGAAAAGAAGAAAGAAAGAAGGAAGGAGGAGGAGGAAGAAGAAGGUUUCGAAAAACUAGGCUCGUUGUGAAGUUUUUCUCAUUUUUGCUUUGCUUGGACCUGAGGUAAUAAAUAGUGUUUCUCUUUGUCACGCGCUGUGAUAUGGGGAGUUCUGACUUCUAGGUGUAUAUGGCGUGGGGGAAUCCUAUGAACGGAUAAAUGAUCAACAUAAGCGCCGAGUAUUAAAGAAUCAUGUUAUGGACUUAGUUUUAAAACUAUUAGUGGGACAUAAAAAUUUAUUUUCUUUAAACGAUGCAUAAGAACACUUUGUUUUUAUUUUGAACUAUUGGGCCCAACUUGCAUGUCUUAUUAAGGCCCCACUAAAUUUCUCAUGUUAAAUGGUAUUUUCUAAUUAUUUAUGAGUUGUGAGACGUUUUAAAAAGUAAUAGAAUAGGGCGAUUUACUUGUGUGUUGUAGUGAUAUAAGGUUGGAAUUAUUCAUGUUGAUUGAUUGUUUGAUAUUUGUGUAUCGUAUGUUGUGUAUAGUUACUUUUUGAGAUUG